UAUCUCGGCUCUUGCAUCGAUGAAGAACGUAGCGAAAUGCGAUACUUGGUGUGAAUUGCAGAAUCCCGUGAACCAUCGAGUCUUUGAACGCAAGUUGCGCCUGAAGCCACUAGGUUGAAGGCACGUCUGCCUGGGCGUCACGCAUUGCGUCACCCACUCCCCCGUGCCUAAGCGGGCAUG
rnacentral:rRNA from 1 species